GUAGGGGGCUAGCGUUAUCCGGAAUNACUGGGCGUAAAGGGUGCGUAGGUGGUNUCUUAAGUCAGAGGUGAAAGGCUACGGCUCAACCGUAGUAAGCCUNUGAAACUGGGAAACUUGAGUGCAGGAGAGGAGAGUGGAAUNCCUAGUGUAGCGGUGAAAUGCGUAGAUAUUAGGAGGAACACCAGUNGCGAAGGCGGCUCUCUGGACUGUAACUGACGCUGAGGCGCGAAAGCGUGGGGAGCAAACAGGAUUAGAUACCCUGGUAGUCCACGCCGUAAACGAUGGAUACUAGGUGUGGGAGGUAUUGACCCCUUCCGUGCCGCAGUUAACACAAUAAGUAUUCCACCUGGGGAGU
rnacentral:rRNA from 1 species